rnacentral:rRNA from 1 species
UACGAAGGGGGCGAGCGUUGUUCGGAAUCACUGGGCUUAAAGCGUGCGUAGGCGGAUUUAUAAGUCAGAAGUGAAAGCCCUGGGCUCAACCCAGGAACUGCUUUUGAGACUGUAAGUCUAGAAUCCGGAAGAGGUUGGCGGAAUAUCCAGUGUAGAGGUGAAAUUCGCAGAUAUUGGAUAGAACACCAGUGGCGAAGGCGGCCAACUGGUCCGGAAUUGACGCUGAGGUACGAAAGCGUGGGUAGCAAACAGG